rnacentral:tRNA from 1 species
GGUGAGAUGGCUCAGUGGGUAAGAGCACCGGACUGCUCUUCAGAAGGUCCAGAGUUCAAAUCCCAGCAACCA